AUUAAACGCUGGCGGCAUGCCUUACACAUGCAAGUCGAACGGCAGCACGGGGGCAACCCUGGUGGCGAGUGGCGGACGGGUGAGUAAUACAUCGGAACGUGCCCUGGAGUGGGGGAUAACGCAGCGAAAGCUACGCUAAUACCGCAUAUUCUGUGAGCAGGAAAGCAGGGGAUCGCAAGACCUUGCGCUUUGGGAGCGGCCGAUGUCGGAUUAGCUAGUUGGUGGGGUAAAGGCCUACCAAGGCGACGAUCCGUAGCGGGUCUGAGAGGAUGAUCCGCCACACUGGGACUGAGACACGGCCCAGACUCCUACGGGAGGCAGCAGUGGGGAAUUUUGGACAAUGGGCGGAAGCCUGAUCCAGCCAUGCCGCGUGAGUGAAGAGGGCCUCGG
rnacentral:rRNA from 1 species